GAGAGAGACAUGCGCGCAUAUCAAUAACGGAGGAAAAGAAACUAACAAGGAUUCCCUUAGUAACGGCGAGUGAAGCGGGAAGAGCUCAAAUCUGAAAUCUUCAAGGUUCUACCUUGACGAAUUGUAGUUUAAAGAAGUGUUUUCUGUCAGUGGAGUGGCAAAAGUUCUUUGGAAUAGGACAUCAUAGAGGGUGAGAAUCCCGUAUUUGGUCAUUCCUCCUAGCGUUGUGAUACACUUUCAACGAGUCGGAUUGUUUGGGAAUGCAGUCCAAAAUGGGUGGUAAAUUUCAUCUAAAGCUAAAUAUUGGCGAGAGACCGAUAGCGAACAAGUACCGUGAGGGAAAGAUGAAAAGAACUUUGAAAAGAGAGUUAAACAGUACGUGAAAUUGUCAAAAGGGAAGCGUUUGACACCAGUGUUGUUUUUCCGAAAAUCAAUUACGAAUGUUUUGUUUUUGAGGAGUUAUGACUUCAUCGGCUUGCUUCCUUUCUUUACGAAACUUUCUUAAUGCACUUUUCGGUUAACAAGUCAACAUCAAUUUCUUUUGUUGUAAAAGGGUAUGAGGAAGGUGGCUUUCUUUUCGGAGAAAGUGUUUAUAGCCUUGUAGCCUCUGCAAUCGGAGAGAUUGAGGUCUGCAGCGUAGAUCCUUCGGGGUUAGAUACAUUUGUGCUAAGUUAUAGCCUUUUCAUAGACAACUUGUUGACUAUGUUUAGUCUUGUAGCUUACUCGCUUAUGCUAUUUUACCUACGCUUAGGAUGUUGAUCUGUAGUGCGUGCGC
rnacentral:rRNA from 1 species